UGGGGAAUCUUGCGCAAUGCGCGAAAGCGUGACGCAGCAACGCCGCGUGCGGGAAGACGGCCUUCGGGUUGUGAAUCCGCAUUUCAGUUGGGACGAAGCCUUUGCGGUUAAUAGCCGUGGAAGGUGACGGUACCUUCAGAAGAAGCCACGGCUAACUACGUGCCAGCAGCCGCGGUAAUACGUAGGGCGCAAGCGUUGUCCGGAAUUAUUGGGCGUAAAGAGCUCGUAGGCGGUCUGUCGCGUCGGAUGUGAAAGCCCGGGGCUUAACCCCGGGUCUGCAUUCGAUACGGGCAGACUAGAGUGUGGUAGGGGAAGAUCGGAAUUCCUGGUGUAGCGGUGAAAUGCGCAGAUAUCAGGAGGAACACCGGUGGCGAAGGCGGAUCUCUGGGCCAUUACUGACGCUGAGGAGCGAAAGCGUGGGGAGCGAACAGGAUUAGAUACC
rnacentral:rRNA from 1 species